UAUGUGUGUGGAUGUCUGUAUAUGUGUGUGGGUGUGUGUAUUUGUGUGUGGGUGUGUGUAAAAGCGUGUGUGUAUUGUGAGGGUAGGGGGUACAUGCAUGGGAGGUGUGCGUAUAUGGGAGUGUAUGGGGGAAUUUUUUCUUUUGAUUAUUGACAUUUUCAAAUGUUUUGUUUUAUAACAAAUAUGUAUGCAUUUUGUUAAUUUUGCUUCUUUGUUCUUUGUUGCCAGGGUUGUUUUUGUUUUUUGUUUUUCCAACAGGGUUUCUCUGUGGAGUCAUGGUUGUCUGGGAUUCUCUUUGUAGAUCAUGUUGGUCUGAAAUUCAGAGAUCUGCCUACCCUAGCUGGCUUGGAAUCUGUUGGAAUCCUCCUGCCUCUGCCUGCCUCUGUCUCCCAAGUGCUCUGUGUGUAUGUGUGAAUAUGUGUGUGUGCAUACCCUACAGUAGCUAAUUUUUCCUUUUGGAUGGAUCCAGGUUGUUGUGAGAAGAGACAAGGAAAAGCAAGAGCACUGCUGCCAGCUCACAGCUGGAUCUCUGCAGCUGUGAGGCCACACCCACCCUUCUCUCUGGACUCUCCUAUCCUCUGUUUUCCUUCUGGUGAUGAGAGACUUUGGCUCACGGGGCAGCUUGGGAGGGGAAACAGGAAAGAACUCUGAUGACCACUGGCUAUGUGGCUUUGGAAAACUCACUUAACCUUCAGGAAUCUCAGUCAUUUUGCUGCAAAAUGGGAACGUAGGCACUUAACUCUAAAUCUGUUUUCAGGUUGACAAGAUGGUUCAGAGAGUAUUGACACUUUGUCACCAGACCCAACAACAUCUAUCUCAUCCCCAUGUGGUAGAAGGAUAGGAUGUGAAGAACUAAUGAUGGAAGGAUAGAGCAAACUACUGCACAGCACAUGAGCAUGAAUACACACACACAAACAUACACGCAGACACACACAUAUACAUACACACUCACAUACACACACAAACAUACACACAGACACACACAUACAAAUACACUCAGAGACACACACAUACACACACAGACAUACACAUACACACAAAGACACACAGGGACACACAUACACACACACAUUUUUAAGCAGACAUGGCAUACAGGAUGAAAGAUUGCCUGGCAUACAAUAGGGGACCAAUAAAUGUCUUCAGAAAAAUAUCAUGAGGGAACAUAAUGGGUGCAACAAAGGAACAUAUUAAGGAAAGAGCUGGACCAAGGAACUUGGGGGCUUUAACACAGGAUCACAGGGAACCUUCAGAUGUAACGUAAUGGUCUAGGGACAUGUAUGGGAAAACUACAUGCUUGUUAAUACCGGCCUCCAAAUGCACUUCAGCUCUUCCUUCUAGAAUCCAAUCAAGGGACAACACAAAACAGACAAAAGCACGGUAAUAGCAUCUACAACUUUGUCACUAUAGAAAUGACCUUGAAAGUGUGAUUCUCAAGGCUCACAUCUAUCCAUCUUUUGACAUUCUAAACUGCAGGAUUAAAUUGUGAUUCAACGUAACUGACAGUCUUUGUGAUCCUAAAUAACUCCGACUUUGCCAUUAAACACCAUUAUUAAUAUCGGCCCAUGAGCUCCAUCAAGAGUUUAAAGAAACUCCUGGGUAGGCAGGCAGGCAUGGCAGCGCUCCUGAUGGCCGUGUGACAUUGUGCUGGUUUCUCUCAAGGGCAUGAUCCUUCCUCUGGGUUUCUAGGAGAAAGAAGUUAAUUCCUCACUGGAAAGGAUUUAGGGGAUUGUCGUCCACCUCAGAGAGGCCUCCCUCCUUCCCAAAGGGCUCCUCCCCUUUGUCCCUUCUGGUAAAUAGAGGUCAAAAUGAGCCUUCAAUAGAGUAGUGCCAGUCUUCAGUGAUAACAGCUCAAGAGAAGAGUUUUCUGGGAAUAUUAACAGUUCUUCUUGGUUUGAGGUAUUGGUAACAAAACCAGGGCCCUCAUGCAUACUAGGCAAAUGAUCUAUCUACCAUUAUCUAUCAUCCAUGCCAAAGCUGCCGUCUAUACAAUGAAAACCCUGGUCUUCAGGUUGCUUUGCCAGUUAAAUGGAGUAUUAUUCAUCAACCCCAGAGGACCCCGUUCUGCCUGUCUUCUGCGUAGCACACAACUACCCAGAGAAGGGUCCUGGCGGCCCGCACGGUGGUACCUCGCUCAGGCGAGAGCCUCAAAUAUCCACCUUGCCUCUCUGGCUGUCGCGUGGUGUCUCGGCAGCCGGGGCGAGGAGGCAGCCCCCACCCUGGACUGGGUCCCCACGUGCACCCCUGCCUCCGCGCCCGCGCACCUGACCACCGGGUCCCCGGGCGCCCCGUCCUCACCGCGCGCCUCCGCGCCUUUCGCCGUGCCUUUCUCUGCAGCGCCUCUACCUGCGCACUUCCCUGCCUGCCUGGCCCUCGGGCUCUUUCUCAAGAUCUGCGGGGUCUCCGGCCGUUGUCUCUCGCUCACCCGCUGUCGGUCCGUCCGUCCAGGGAGCCAAGGAGGCGCGAUGAGCGGCGCCUGCUCGAGCUACGUGAGCGCUGAGCAGGAGGUGGUGCGCGGCUUCAGCUGCCCGCUGCCAGGGGGCGAAGCGGCUGCUGUCUUCUGCUGUGGCUUCCGCGACCACAAGUACUGCUGCGACGACCCGCACAGCUUCUUCCCCUACGAGCACAACUACAUGUGGUGGCUCAGGUGACCCGUUAUGAAAGGGUCAUUUGACCUACAAAGGGCUCGUGACCCACAGGUUGAGAAACACUGAUUUAAUGACAGAUGCUGUACCUAAGUGAACAGUACGGUGUCUGUUGACAUCUCACUGUGUGUUUAGAAUGGAGCAUCGGAGCGCUCGUGGGCCUGUCCACGGCAGCAGUGGUCCUUCUGGCCUUCCUCAUCACUGCCUGUGUGCUCUGUUACCUGUUCAUCAGCUCAAAGCCUCAGACCAAGCUGGACCCCGGCUUAAGCUUGCAGACAACAGGCUCCAAGGAGAUGUCACCUGACCACCAUGGUUUGAACACAGCAAUCCCGAUGGAGGUACCAGGGGUAAGCUCUCCCCGGCAGAGUUCAUCCUCGAACACACAUCUGGAAAGCAACAAGAAGCAGACCGUGAGCCCCACAUGUCUCCCCCAGAACCAGUUCAUGGCCACAGUGACUGCUAGCAACAUUCCAGGCAGUCCUGACGAGAUCUCUGUCCCCACCCCUGGCCCACACGGACCAGUCCCAUAAACAUCCAAUAAAAGUCUUUGCAUCAUUA